rnacentral:rRNA from 1 species
UACGUAGGGGGCAAGCGUUGUCCGGAAUUAUUGGGCGUAAAGAGCGCGUAGGCGGUCCGGUAAGUCGGCUGUGAAAGUCAAGGGCUCAACCCUUGAAAGCCGGCCGAUACUGUCGGACUAGAGUCCGGAAGAGGCGAGUGGAAUUCCCGGUGUAGCGGUGAAAUGCGCAGAUAUCGGGAGGAACACCAAUGGCGAAGGCAGCUCGCUGGGACGGUACUGACGCUGAGGCGCGAAAGCUAGGGUAGCAAACGGG